CAAACCUGUAAGAUGCACAAAAUGAUCAAGCACGUAGAUCGUUUUAGUUCAUGCGAAGAUCAACAGAUGGCUGCGAUUUCAGACACAAAUUUCAGAUCUAUCCUGAAUCAGCUACAGGUGUGACACUUGACAAUCAUGUACCGAAAUAAAUAAGUUAAGUACAAAACUUCAAACGUUUUCUAGACCAUUUCUGCAGUGGUUCUCUGGAAUCAAAUUACCUGGCACUGUCAACCACCACAUUUUACAUCAGACCAGAAGUGGUGAUUUAAAAGGAGAGAAUCAUCCUACAUUUUAUUCAGCCUAUGCCGUAUUGGUUCGCCCAGAAUUGGGGGUCUCCAGAGACAUGAGGCGUAAAGAGAAAACACUAACCCUGGAAAAUCCUGAACCAACAAAGACACCACUCACCUGCUUUAAAUCAGUAAUCAAAAUCACAUUCACUAAAUGAAGACCAUUUAAUAAAUGAAUAGAAGAUAACAGAAAGACUUUCAUGCAGUUCCACCAACUAUCCUCAUGGUCUCCUUUAAGAAGCUCAUGUGAAACUGUGGUGCUCAGAACAAACUCGCUCCAUUUGUAAUGUGGCCAGUUCAGCGUUAGUGGAGAAGGACUACUUAAUCCAGACAUAUUUCCACGAAGGCCAGAUAAGACUGUCUUUGUUCCUUCGGCAACUAUGUCACUCAGCUGAGUCAGUCUGCCAGCUGCUGCCUGAUGCAUGGCUGAGGGUAGACACACAAGUUACAACAUGUGUACUUAAUGGGAAGUCGAAAAGAAAACAGCAACUGAGAAACGUCCUCUCACUCUACCUGAAAGCUUCUAUAAUGUAGUUGAAGAAGUAUUAAGUCAAACCUAGCUGGAAUGAACACUUGCUCUUCUAAAGGCUGAAAGCCAAUAAACAACCACAGGUUACCGCUCAACUUCAGAAACAGCAGCAGCAUCUGAAAGCCAUGUAUCUUUGCUUAAGCUAAUCAUCUUCAUGUAACAUUUGACUAAGCAAGAAGGUUGUCAAAUUGCUCUGACAAUUGCAACAACAAGGUCACCCUGGUUGUCAUGAAGAAGUACAACAUACUAACUUUUGUGUCACAGAAAAUGAACUGUGAAGCUGAUCCCAAACUCAAAAGCCACCUACAACAGGCAAUCCAACCACUGAAAUGUAUGUUUACUGCUGUCAAGACUCUUCCUUCAUAUGCCUCAGGACCUGUCUGAUCCUGCUAUAAAGCACAUGUUUGCAUGUGCAGCAUUUUGUAAUUACAAAUACUGAGCUAAAUACUCACAGUAGAACUGUGCAAGGACAUUGCACAUAAAAUGGGACUGGAAAAACAUCUUGCAAAACGCUUUAUGGGACAACUGCAUCAUCCCCCUAUUUGGAAGGUACAUUUCUCCCACAAAUGCCCAUCUACUUUCCACAACUAGUCUUGGAAAUCUUUCUUUUCUCCUCUAUACAAUCUUAAAUUACUUGCCAUGGGCUAAAUUAUGAGUCAAACCACUCACAGUGGAAUUACUGAAAAAAUAAACAUCAAAUUAAAAGUAUAUUACUACUUUUAUUUAGCAUUUCAUUAAUGCUAAAAUUUGAUAUUUCAACACGAGUGGCUGGAGGCAAAAUGAAAGUGGUAGAAACAAGGAAGCGCCGGGUGC